UUCACUUGACAUUUCUCGUUUCUCGAAAAAUCACGUCGUAAUUUUUUUAUUUUUUUAACUUUUUUUCGAUAAUUUUUAGGCACUGGGGUGAUAGAAACAAUUAAUUUUAGGCAAAUUACCCAUUUUAAGUAGAUAAUUCACUAAAUUAGGACAACACGUUCUUUUUAAGGUUAUGCACGGUAUACACGUAAUCAUGGGGACAAAGGGGGACAAAAUAUUGAUUUUUCAAGUUAAUUUUGCAGUUUACAGCCCUUAGGAGGACCCCUGUAUACAAUUUAAAUGAUUGAAGCCACAACAAACUUUCUUUGCAAAAAAAAAACGAAAAAUCAAUAUUUUUCAUAUUGCUGUCAAAAUUUAAGAAAAAAAAAGAUCUUUCAAAGGUACAUCCCAUAAACACCAUAAUACCCCAAUUUUUUCCCCAAAUCACCCUCACACUAGCAAAAAUAACCUUAAAUAAAAAAAAAAACGAAGUUCUUACCGAGGCACUGGAAGAUCCAAAGAUUCCAGCCGUGUCCAUAUUCGAGUCAAGUGUGACCUGGGAUCCCUUAAAGACACUGAAGGGUAGGAACUAUCAUUAGGGACGACCCCGUCGUAUCUAUAAAGUUUAGAAGCCCCUUUUACCAAGCAGGGGUCAACAAGAAGCUUGUAGUUCUUCGGCUUGCCUUGUACAGGAACAUUAUGUGACCUAUGGUCCAUCCCAUUCAUAUCUGGAAAAAAGAAUUAUUAUUAGUGUUUUAAUCAAAAAAAUAACAAGUUGGAAGUGUUUCCUUACCUAAAAAAUCCAAACUGAGUGGAAAUAACAACAAAUAAACAAGAGGUCAAAGCAGCUCAGUUAGGAUCGCAUUUUAUACGAGAUCAGCAUCGUAUUUUAAGGUAAUUUCGGGGCCGGAGUGCGGCCGGGCAUUUAGACAUCGGAUUAUCAGUUAAAGACGUUUUUAUUUUGGGGCCCAAAGGGGGUUUUUCGUGAAAAAAUUGAUUAUCAGAAGAGGUCCAGACUUUAGGUGCCUAACCUCGACUUCUGUCAGGCAGGUGUAGUCGCCAUCGAGGUCAUAUUUCUGUUUGGUUUCAUUUCGGGGGUAGAAAACACUGUAAUUAAUGGGUGUCUUGUAGCGUUUUAUAGUUAUCUGGUUGUUAGUUUUAAAGGAGGUGCAACAGCAACGGAGAAUUAAUUAUUUUGGCAAAAUUUAUACGUAAAAGAUCGUUUUUUGACUAAAUGCUUACGGCGUUGCCAAGUCAUGCUAGGUGUUUAAAAAAUGUUGCUCUAUUUUUGUUGAAAUUUAGUUUUUAACUAUUAAAAUGUUAUAAUUUGUUAAUAGUAUCUUAAAUAAUAUUAAUACAAUUUAAAAUAUUACCAAUAUAUUUAAAAUUUAUAGACAAUUUUAAAUCUUUAAGCGUGGCAGCUCCGGCUCUUCAUGGGUUGACAUUAAUGACAUUUGACGUAUAACUUGGGUAUGACAUCAUGGGCAUAGAUAUCGAUAAGUCCAAAUUUCUACAUUUUGUUUGGUUUUUCCUUUUUAUCAAACAAGAAAUUAUUAAACAUUUAACAAAAUAUUCCUAAAAAUCUAAAAAUAAACGACCAAUGUAGCAACA